AGUAGAGGCCUCCCUUCCGCGGAGGUGGCGCAGGCUGCUCGGCUACCCGGUGAGGUCCACGCGCAGCCCACCCGGCGCUCGGUUCCCCGGCCGCUGUCUCCCGCUGCAGGCGGCGGCGCCGGGCCUCGGAGGCUUCUAAUGUGAGGAAAAACAUGGAAUGACAAGUGUGGGAAAGAGCAAGCACUAAAUUACUGUCAGAAAAAUAAACGGAGCAGCACAGUGGUGCUCCGUGAUUUACGGGGGCAAUUAGUCACCACCCCACAGCGCUGCUGAGGACGGCCUGGCAGCAGACACAUCAGGCCCACGAGGACGAAGAGGCUCUGCACUAAGCUCCAGAUGACUUUUCAAACAAGAGCACGUCCGUGAGCACAUGAGAGUCUGUGUGUUCAUUCUGGGUGUCUACCCUUUACACUCCCCACCAGCUUGAUAAAUAAACAGACUUUUCGUGC
ensembl:lincRNA Gm28050 predicted gene, 28050